UCCCUCAUGGCCGGCAAGGUCGUCUUGGUGCCGCCUCCGUCGUCCCUGCACCAACCGGUUGUUAGCUGAGGACCUUGAGUCGCCAGGAUGCGCCGCCGCCGGCGUCCAUGGUCGUCCAAGCAGAGGGACGCGGAGAGAGGGGCGGUGAGGGACACGGAGGAAGGGCGGAGAAGGACGCUGCGGGAGAAACAAAAUGCUGGAGCUUGGUCGCUGGGGCCGGUCGCCGUCGCCGCCGUGUUCGUACGGUACGGGGGAGACAAAGAUGCCGUUCGAUGGGUCGACCCGUUCCUCCUGUUCCUAUGUCUUUCCUAGCCACACGGGUAUGAUUCUGCCUUACCAAGAAAUAUUGCCCAUAUAUUGCCUGGGACACAAGGUAAUUUGAACGCUUGGACACCGGUACAACCAAGCCGAUCCAGUCUGCAAGCAAAAUAAUCCAUCGCACAAUACUGCGGCUGUUCAUGUGGCAGUCAAAAAGUUCAAUCCAUCGAUCUAUUCCUCUCCAUCUCAGUUUGCAGCGCUUCGUCAGGUCGUCCUACUUCCCCACUUGCCCACGACGCCGCCCAUCGCCAGAUCAUGUUGAGUGUUAGAACAAUGCGGAAAAUAAAGAUGCCAGGUUAUCUUCCUUAGAAACAAUUAUUGUACAUAGGGCAUCGGGAUAUUUUUGUUCUGGGUUCGCCCUGCCAGCAGCUGCCUCUGGGAAGGAGAGGUAGGCGAGUGGGAAGGUCGGGGACACCAAGGAGGCGGCCGAGCAGGGGCGCUAGACAAGGUUGGGCAGACAAGGACAUGGUAAAGAAGGUGGUGAAGGCGGUUUGGAGUGCUCUAACCAUAUAUCCAACAUGACACGGGUUUACAGAGACCUGACAAUUGACUACUUGAAGAUGUUCCAGCAACUGUCGCUCCUCUAGAACUUGUGAGUCUGUCCACAUUCUUCUUUUUACAGCUUUUGCUCUUUUCGGGAUGAAUUUAAACUGGCUGGAACAAAGGUUCUUUUUCUACUGAACUUCUUAUUUAGUUAUGUCAGUGAACUCCUAUGAUAAUUGAUCUUUAACAUUGAUAUUUUUUUUUACAUUUACUAGGACUUGUGAGUCCGUCCACAUUCUUCUUUUUACAGCUUUUAUUGCUCUUUUCGGAUUGAAUUUAAACUGGCUGCAACAAAGGUUCUUUUUCUACUGAACUUCUUAUUUAGUUAUGUCAGUGAACUCCUUCUAUGAUAAUUGAUCUCUAACAUUGAUAUUUUCUGUUUACAUUUAGGUUCUUUUUUAUUGAUUAGCUGACUUCCUUUGAGGUCAGUGCGUUCGAGGUUAGUAUAUUUUAUAAUCUAAAUACGCUAGGCAAUAACCAAUAUUGCACUCACGUAGUUGCCUGUGACCACAUAAUGAACGAUAGUUCGAGAUCAUCUUUCUAAUCAAUAACCUUUUUUUCUAACUGACUUUGUGUUCUUCCUAAACCAUGCAUUUCCGAGAAAAUUUUGGCUUCAUUGUCACAUGGUUUGCAAGCAAGGUUCCUAGAAAGUAUCUAUGUUUGUUUUGGAGGGCCACAUCAGAGGGGCUUCACUUCUUCAUUGUAAUAAGUAUCUAUGUGUGUUUGCAAGCAAGGUUCCUAGAAAUUAUCUAUGUGUGUUUUACAUUGAACAAUUUUUAUAGUAUCUGAACCAUGAAGUGCCAUCUUCUCAUUGCUUAUAUCUCAGUAUUUAAUUAGUCAAACUGUAAUGUCAACAGAUGAUAUAAAGUUAGAAACCUUGCUUGCAGAGUUAUUAUAGAAUAAAAUUAGCUCUAAUCUUUGUCUUUCUUGGAUUUACUUCUUAUUUAUUGCAUUAUUACCUAUAAACUUUUUUUGAUUUACUUGCAUUAAUUUCUGUCUCCAAUAUUACAAUGAUCACUUCUACUUUGGUUUUCAAGCUAAGCCUGAUUCCCUUGUCUUGGAUGCUUGGGCCAGAGUGCAUGAGAAGGUGGGAACAUGAGUUCUAAUCUUCAGAGCCACAUGAGUAGCCUUGGUAUUUCUGUAUCUGCAAGGUGUAAUUGUCACGCAAAGUUUUCUUGUGAUGUGCAUGUAUCGUCAAAGUUGAACAGCCGAACCAGUUCACUACUGCCGGUCCUGUUAGUAUUCUUUCAUGUUAGACAAUUUACAGUAUUAAACUGAAUUCCGCUUCAGAACAUGAUCAAUAAUUUAAUUUUUUCUGACUAAAUAGAAGGGCUUAGCAUCAAAAAAGUAGUCGAACUUGAGUAUCUCCUAUUCUUGUGGUUCUUUGUCUUCUUCAGCUGAUCUUUAGUAGUACCUUAUAUAUCCACUACCUUAUGUAGGAGUUUCAGGAAUCCAAUGGACUUGAAAAAGGUCACUAAGCUUUUGGAGGAUGUUCAAAUCGAAGAGCACACAAUGCAAGGAUUAUACCCUGAAGUGUUUUUGUUCCAAACCUAUGCAUGGCCAACAAUUUUAACUGAAGUUAUUGUCCCAUUCGCAUUUAAAUUAUUGUUACUAAUAUAUUCCAUUCGUGUGAUUGAUCUGUAUAUAUCUCAUUAAUGACUUAAGGAACUGUAAAUAAGAAAAAAUGGAAAGGUGUGAUGUAUCAGUUCACCUCAUUUAUUCAUUACCCGGUUCA